UGCUAGUUCUUUCACAAAAAAUAAAAAACUAAAAACGCUGAAAUUAAAAAGGUAAACACAUGCCCAGACACUUCACUCCAUUUUUUCUCACCGAUUCACUCACCGUUUCUCCCUCUCCAUCGUUCCUCACUCGCCAUCUUCUCCGACGAAAUCAACCCUUCUAUCCAUUGUUCGCCAUCAAUUGAACCCUAAAACCUUCUUCUCUCCAUCAUUCCCAAAACUAGUUAAACCCUAAAUCCCAAAUUGAACCCAAAAAUUAAAGGAUUGUUAUCAUUGUCGAAGGCUUGAAGGAGGUAGGUAUUUUCCCUUUUCUUAUAUCCAUUUCCCCCAUUUAUAUUUCUGUUGUCAUGCCUUUUACAUUUUGGAUUUUUCUUAAUUCAUGUAUGAAUAUGAUGCUUUAAAUUCCUUGUCAGUUUAUAAUAAUGGAUUGUGUGAAUAUUUUCAGUGAUGGUUUAGCUGCUUAGAAUCUGGGGUUUGUUAGUACGGGCAUAGAUAUGAAAUUUGUUGAUGAUGAGGCAUAGAAUAUGGGCGGUGUAGCUAUGAGAUGUUGAUGUGUUGGUUGGUUAUGUUUAAUAUGGGUGUAGCUAUAUGUAGUUUAUACUAUGUUUUAUGGUUUAUCUAGACUCUCAAUUUCUUCUGAGUAGUCAAGAUGCAAGUAGCAAUUGUACUUUUCAAAGUUUAGAAUUAGCUUCACUAGAGCAGAUUCAAAGAGCUAUAAGUAAUAUUGGGAAUGGAAGUCAGAAAGGGAUGAAGAAAGUUGAAAGACAGAACCAGAUUGAGUAUGUGAGUGGUUUGUAUGAUCCUUCAUUUUUCUGGAAUGAUCAAGCCUCCAAAAUUUCAAUUCUAUGAUUCAAAGACACCUUUCUUCACUUCCCCGAGAUUCUUACCACCCACCAGAGUAGAAAAAUGCAAGGAUACCAUGAUGAUGGGUGCUGAUUAGUGAUUACUAUCAAACUGAGACUGAAAUUGCAUCUCUGCUGGCAGAAGGAAAUGUCCUAGUUGGUGUUGGAGAAAAUACCAAAAUAAGGUACGAUUAUGUUAUUUGAAAAAGCUAUUUCGAUUCAUACAAAAUUCUUGCUUAUCUGGAUUAUAGGCUAGAAGAACAAAUAGCAUUCCAAGCUGAGCUGAGCCAUGGUUACCAAUGUACAUAUCAUAAUAUCAACAUUAAGUGACAGCUCCUUUACUUAUUUAUGAUAAUUUCAUUCUGGACAUUUUUAAGGAAUUGUAUAAUCGACAUGAAUGCAAAAAUUGGAAGAAAUGUGAUCAUUACAAAUGCUGAUGUAAGUGCUGUUUCAAAAUCUUGCUUUCGGUAACUGCAUUUAACGAUUUUUUAACUAAUGGUGUACUACAUUUUCUGGUCUUCUCUGCUGAAUUUAAACAUGUUGACUUCUCAGGGUGUUGAUGAAGCAGACAAAACUAAGGAAGGAUUUUACAUUAGGUCAGGCAUCACCGUUAUACUGAAGAAUGCAACAAUUAAAGAUGGAACAGUUAUAUGAAGCGCAUCAAAUUUUCCAAUGGACCUCUCUAGAGCUUAGUUGCUUACACUUGGGUAAUCGUCUUUAGCAAGAAAUUAGCUUUAUAUUUGUUCCUUCAAUGAAAGGAGUUGUCAUGGUAAGAGUAGCCUUUCUAUUAGCUUUCAAUGAAAUUAUUCUUAUAUAUACAGGUAAUCAUCUUUAGCAAGAAAUUAGCUUUAUGUUUGUACCUUUCAGUCUGUUUUGUUUCACAUCUUUGCUACUCUUGUAUAAUUCCUCUCAUAUUGUUUAGGUGUUUGGCUAGGUAUAUUGAGACUGUUUUGUAUUGGUGUCUUAGAGAGGAAUACCAAUAUACUAUUUGUUUUGAAACUAUUCAAUUCUGUCAUUAAAUAAGAGUAAUCAAAUAUAUAAUAUAUUCUUAAUUCUUAAUUUUUCAGGGACUUCUUGGUAAUACGAGAAUGGUGCUGGCUUGCGAGCAAUCCUAAGGCGUUCAAGUUUAUUAUUAGUUGUUCGCCGCAUAAAUUCUUGUUCUGCAUAGGAUCAUUACGUGUAGGGAUAGGUGAGUGAUUAUGGUUGAGGAGGUAUUGUAGUAGGCCUUGGUGUUGUUAUUAUUUGUAUGUAUCAACAUAAGAUAGUUUUGGUGGGUGAGACUCUAAUGUAUUGAAUAUCUAUAUGUAUAUACAAAAUUGUAUUGUAUAUUA